rnacentral:lncRNA from 1 species
AGAGUGACCAGGGCCCAAGCAGUGUGUCAUGAAGAGCCGGGGCCGGGCCCCACUCCCCCAGCAGAGAAGCAACCCUCGUGGGAAACCCCUCACCUGUUAGGGGUCUUCGAACUGACCACGGGAUCGAAAGUACAAUGGGAGCUCCUUAGGGCAGAGGCUCCACCUGGGAAGAGGCACCAGGCACACAGGAGGCCCCAACCAAUGGAUGCUGAUGAGUAAGACAACAGAAAACCCGGGAGUUCCCCGGUGGUCUAGUAGUUAGGACUCAGCGCUUUCACCACUGUGCUGCAGUCUGGGUUCAAUCCCUUGUCUGGGAACUGAGAUCCCUCAGGCCUCUGCAUACCAUGACCAAAAGAAAAAAGACAGCAGAGAAAGCAAGCCAAAAACAUGUUUUGCCUAAAAGCAUUUGUAUGUCUUUGACUCAGAAUUUAACUCUGAGCUUGCUGGUAUCCCUAAGAGCCUCAAAGUUUACAGAAUCCCCACGUUUAAAAGGAUGGAUGCCAGAAAACAUCUUUCUGGUGCUGAAUUUGUUCAGGACAAACUUUCUCAGAGGGAAUGAAAACCUGAAAACCAUAAAAAUCACUGUCUUUAUAGAAACAGGUCUUUUAAAUGUGGUGUCAGACCUACCACUGUUUUGUAUUAGUGAGAUGACACAUAAUGCACACUUUACACAUAGUCAUCAGAAGCCUAGAGCACUGAUUACUUUAUCAAUUCUCAGAAAGCAGAGCCCAGGCAUGAAUAACCACUGAUAAGACAGGUGGCAAAGCUGGGUCAAGGCCAGAACAAUUUCUCACUGAAAAGGGCAUGUCCCAGAGAAGUGUCGGGGCCUGGGGGUGCGGGUGGGGGUCCUGUCUCUGCCUGGUUGCAUGGUGGUUCCCUCUCCUGUCAGAUCCCAUCCAGGGCUCCAACACGUUCAAACACCAGGUAGGUUGUUCUCACUCAUCUGCCUGCCGCAGUCACAACUCCAGCACUGCCAGGAGUCCGCCACCCAAAGGCUUCAGUCAGCACCUGCUUUCCUGGCCUUGAUGGAAAGGGUUCUUAACUCAUGUUUGUGACGCAGUAAGAUGAUAGUUAAACCAAAAUACCUGCCAGGUGGCACGUUCAAAAGAAGGAGCAGACUGUUUUGACUGGGGAAUCACUGAAAGCACUAGCAAGAAGUGAAAUUCAAGUUUUCAAGGAUGAGCUGGAAUUUGAAACACAGAACAGACUGGAAGGACAAAAGUGGCAGUGCGUUCACAGCAUAGGGACAGGAAAGAGCACAGAUGAUCAGAGCAGGGAGUCAAGGGCUGGGAACAGGCACAGCACAAGUCAGGGUGACUGCAGAGGUCACAUCACGCCCACCAUCCAGGGCACACAGGUCACCUGCUUCCCAAGUUUGGACCUUCUCUUUUCAGCCAGGAGACCAAGGGAAAAACAAACAGAGUGACAUGGCCAAACUUGCAAAUAGGAUUUCUCCCACCCUCUGAUCUCCACUUUCAUCAUGUUCUUCCUUGUACUGGUCAUUUUUCACUCUUGUCUGAUCCCUCCUAUUGGACUGGAAGAUGCUUAAAGAUGGCUGCUUCCUCUUUACCCUCCUGGAACCUUCCCUUUUGAGUGUAGUAAGUGAUGAAUAAACAGUUGUUCAGUGGAAUUUAUGUUCAAGUUACCAUUCAGGGAACACAAGAGUGACCAAAACAGAGGGUGGGGGGGAGCCUUUUCUGCACAGGAAGAAGCUGGAACAUCAGGAAUCCAGAGAAAACAGAAAAUAGCUGUGGUUUCAGGGAGUUUUAGGGGAAGUGACACAGACCCUAAACAACUGAUAAGGAUAAGGACGAAGACACAGAGGAGCAAAGAGGGAAUUUCCAGGCAACUCAACGUCCUCUGUAAGAGAAGAGGAGGAUGAGGAGGCAGGGACAACAACUUACAGGCAUGGGAGCCCUUCGACACUCAAACUUCCACAUGUCAGCCUACUUGUUCAAGUGGAUACUGAUGUUUCUGGCAUUUCCCUCACUCCAUCUUUACUCUUUAAGCCAGUAUCAUAGGUUCUUUUUUAGAGCAUCGCCUUUUCUGUGUCUCUCUCACCAGCACAGAAUCCCCAGAAGCACUGUUUGAAAUAAAAGACGAACCCUCAGGGCAAUAAUGGGGAAGUUUGCAGUUGUAUUUCUUUGGUUAUGUCCUUUCAUUCUGAGUGAAAGGCCAGUCGAGUGAAAAUCCCCCUCGUCCGGACUCGGAAGAGGUGACACCCCAAAUCACUCACGAGAAGCGGUCUUGAUGCAAACAGCAAGAGGAUUUUUAUUCCAAGCGCGCUGGGGCCCACAGUCGUACGCCACGCAGGGGUAGAGGACUGCGGCCCCAAGUGCGGAGUCAGGACAGCUUUUAUGGGAUUCACAACAAAGCCCGGGGUUCACAACAAAGCCCGCACUUCACAAAUCAAUCAUUUCAAAAUAUCACAAACCAGUCAAUUUAAAACUUCGAGAGCCCGCGGACCAAUUAAUUUUAAGUUGUUCUGGAGUUACGUGUUUGUGCCUGUCCCUGGGCGGGGGAGAUAUAUUGUCGCCAAGAUAUAUUUAUCAGGAUUUUCAACAUUUUAUAGCACAACCGAUCUUACUGGGGUCGGUUAUGCGAUUAACUUCUCUUUUUAUCUUAUGCAAGCAGCUUUACAGAAGCCAAACAAGCAGUUAAGAACCCUUUUCCCUGUUAUCUCGAGCAGUUUCAAGAAGUUUCAUGCCUAGAGGCGCGUACUCAGGGGCCUGUUUUUCCCCUUCCACAUAGUUUUGUACAGAACAGAAAGCAAGCCCUAAAACAGCAAAAAGUAUGAUCUUUUACCUAUAGGGAACAGGGUCUGGAAUUCGAGGGCAUUUAGAGCUUCUUAUUAACUUCCUGGGUUCUGGGAGGGUCAGGUUGCAUUUUCAUCCUUUCAUGAGGUUGAAGAACAGAAAUUUCUGACACAAUUUUCUGGUGAGUUUGGGCCAUGGGGAAACCUCUCUUUUCACCCACGUGAUGAGGGCUUUCCUGUAACCACGUGCAGGUUCUAGCUGCAGAACCGGGGUUGCAGGUUAAACCUGAAUCACCUAUACUUUAAUGCUGUUAUUUCCUUUUUCACUCUGCAAGCAAUUUUGAAGCUACACUUGCUCCAGGCAACCGGAUCCCUUCAGUGGUGCCUCUUUCAAACCAAAAUACAAGUUAAUAGGCAGGUGAUUUAAUCUGCCUGUAGCAAACAAUGCCUAUUUAAAAAAAAAAAAAAAA